ACACAAAUGUUCCUUUUCUUUUCUUUCUUUCUUUUUUUUUUAAUGUUCGAAGCUAUCGACCUGGAGCUUCUAAUGUAAAAGAUCCUGGAGCUGGCAGAGUCAGCAAAAGACACCAGGGCAGGCACUGCAAACCCAGCGAACCCACAAAACGAACCGAAGAUGAUUCAAGAAAACACGUCAGAGAGGACAAAAGCUUCCCUGAGGUCUCCAGCUGCAGUGAACUAAAUUCUGCUGCGAGCUGAUUGAGUUUUUAAGAGGUCCCCAAGCAUCAGAGGAGACCACAGCUUCAGUUGACACUUUGCUCAUGGCCUGGGUGACCCAAGCAGAGGAUUCAGAUAUGCUGUGUCCAGACUCUUGACCCACAGAAACUGUGAGUAUAUUUCUAAGCUGCUGAGGUUAUGAUAGUCUGCAGCACANNN
rnacentral:lncRNA from 1 species